UGCCCUCCGCGGAGUCCCGGAACCAAGGUGGCUUCAGUGGAGCCUGAGGCAGAAACCUCUCGGGCCGGGCGGACCCCUGUGCUCUCACCAGGAAGGUGGCCGGUUGUCUCCACUCAGGAUAUUUUCUAGUUCCAUCCAUUUGCCUGCAAAACUCGUGAAGUCAUUGUUUUUAAUGGCUGAAUAGUAGUAUUCCAUUGUGUAAAUGUACCACAUUUUCUGUAUCCAUUCUUCAGUUGAGGGACAUCUGGGUUGUUUCCAGCUUCUGGAUAUCAUAAAUAAAGCUGCUAUGAACAUAGUGGAGCACAUGUCCUUGUUAUAUGUUGGAGCAUCUUUUGGGUAUAUGCCCAGUAAAGGUAUAGCUCUGUCUUCAGGUAGAUCUAUUUCCAAUUUUCUGAGGAACCUUCAGCUUGAUUUCCAAAGUGCUUAUACCAGCUCGCAAUCCCACCAGGAAUGGAGGAGUGUUCCUCUUUCUCCACAUCCUCUCCAGCACCUGCUGUCACCUGAGUUUUAGAUCUUAGCCAUUCUGAUUGGUGUGAGGUGGAAUCUCAGGAUCACUUUGAUUUGCAUUUUUCUGAUGACUAAAGAUGUUGAACAUUUCUUUAGUCAUUUUUUUUCUUCUCAGCCACUCAAGAUUCCUCAAUUGAGAAUUCCUUGUUUAGCUCUGCAUCCCAUUUUUAAUUAGGUUAUUUGGUUUUCUAGAGUCUAACUUCUUGAGUUCUUUGUAUAUAUUGGAUAUUAGCACUCUAUUGGAUGUAGGGUUGGUAAAGAUCUUUUCUCAAUCUGUAGGUUGCCGUUUUGUCCUAUUGGCAGUGCCUUUUGCCUUACAGAAGCUUUUCAGUUUCAUGAGGUCCCAUUUGCCAAUUGUUGAUCUUAGAGCCUGAUUCAUUGGUGUUCUGUUGAGGAAAAUUUCCUCUGUGCUGAUGUGUUCGAGGCUCUUAAUCGCUUUCUCUUCUAUUAGAUUCCGUGUAUCUGGUUUUAUGUUGAGGUCCUUGAUCCACUUGCUUUGUGCAAGGUGACAAAUAUGGAUCUAUUUUCAUAGUUCUACAUACAGGCAACCAGUUAGACCAGCACUGCUUAUUGAAGAUACUUUCUUUUUUCCAUUGUAUAUUUUUGGCUUAUUUGUCAAAGAUCAAGUGUGUGGUUUUAUUUCUGUGUCUUCAAUUCUAUUCCAUUGAUCAAUGUGUUUGUCUCUGUACCAAUAUCAUGCAGUUUUUAUCACAGUUGCUCUGUAGUACAGCUUGAGGUCAGGGAUGGUGAUUCCCCCAGAAGAUCUUUUAUUGUUGAGAAUUGGUUUCCCUAUCCUGGGUUUUUUGUUACUCCAGACGAAUUUGAGAAUUGCUCUUUCUAUUUCUGUGAUGAAUUGAGUUGGAAUUUUGAUGGGGAUUGCAUUGAAUCUGUAGAUUGCUUUUGGUAAGAUUUUUUACUAUGUUAAUCCUACCAAUCCAUGAACAUGGCAGAUCUUUCCAUCUCCUGAAGUCAUCUUUGAUUUCUUUCUUCAGAGACUUAAAGUUCUUGCUAUACAGAUCUUUCACUUGUUUGGUUAGAGUCACACCAAGAUAUUUUAUAUUAUUUGUGACUAUUGAGAAGGGUGUUGUUUCCCUAUAUUCUUCUCAGUCCAUUUAUCCUUUGUGUAGAGGAAGGCUACUGAUAUGUUUGAGUUAAUUUUAUAUCCAGCCACUUUGCUGAAGUUGUUUAUCAUGAGCUGUGCUGUGUGCUGCUAUCCUCACACUACUGAGUUGGACUGCUGAUAUAUCUGUGAAGUGUCUGCAAGUGGAUCGAGCUGCUGCUGCUGACCUGUGAACUGAGCUACUGAUUUCUUGACAAUGCAGAUGGGAUUUGCACCAAAGAACCAUUUCUAAACAGGUUUGACUUUCUAAUGUUGCAUCAUAUUCUGUCAACCUACAUUGUAUGCAAUUACUAAAAUUGCAGGGAAAGGAUGUUCUAGAAACUUGGAAAUGAGGAGAAGAUGAGCCAUUACUCUUAUUCACUUAGAGAUGUUAUAGCAUUUAAUACGUUUUUAAU
ensembl:antisense 1700082M22Rik RIKEN cDNA 1700082M22 gene